rnacentral:lncRNA from 1 species
AAGAAGAGGGAGAAGACUAGAUUCUGGACCAUGAGACCCUAACUGAAUCAGUCUUUGGCUUAGAAGUAGCAGCAUUCUUCAGGGACCUGGACUCAAGACCUACCAUAGGUGCAGCCACUGGUGAUGCCAAACAACCAUUACUACCCAACCCUGCAUAACAUGGUGACUACAGCAUCCUCAGAACCCCAGUUUCCAAAAGAGCAGGCUCUACAGAAGAAAAGACUGCAAAAUGAAACAGAUGAGUUGAAUAAGAAAGAAACUGUGAAGGAAAUGAAGAAGGCUGUCAAUGGAUGGAUGAAGAAGGUCAGAGAGAAUUUGGGGAAGAGAAUUUAAGGAAAAAAUUGAAGAUCGACAUGAGCUGAAAGAGGAAAAAGUAGAUCCCAUCUCAGUGAGGCCUGCAGUGGAAGAAGAAGGAUUUUGAAGAAAGUGCCACAAGGAGGAGGAGGAGGAAGAGAACUCAAGAAAAUGCAGAAGGAGUGGCAAAUGCCUCCUGGGGACAAAGCCAGGCUGCCUUGUGAACAGAAUCAAAGCACUGGUGGAUCGUGGGCCAAGACGGAUCUGAAAAGAAGAGAUCUCUCAUCAGCUGCAGAGAGACUGUCAGAACUACAUGAUGGCUCAGAAGAAAAAGUCUCAGAUGAAGAUGAAAUAAAGUAUUGCUCCCCGCUACCCAGAGUAGCAGGGACAAUGUUAACUGAAAACAGAGAAAAAGACAGAUCUAUCCAAUUAUUACCUUGAUUCUGUUUUCUUUACUAGAGAAUAACCUUUGAAGAGAAAAAGAAAAGAAUGAAAAUGUUUAAUUAGUAAAUUGAUAGCUAAACAAGGAAAUAUAAGAGAGCAAUUAGAUAUCCUUGAUGAAUUCAAAGCAUGGAAAUCAAGAAAAUUAUAUCCCUGGGGACUGAAAGAAUUGCCAAAUGAGCUUGGUGAACUACUGCUGGUAUUUGUAAGACUUUUUAGAAGAGGGAAGCUGGGAGCUAAGAUAACAGAAUAAAGGAUGCUCCUUUUUCCCCA